rnacentral:rRNA from 1 species
GCUAACGUCCGUUGUGGAAAGGGAAACAACCCAGAUCGCCAACUAAGGUCCCAAAAUUACAGCUAAGUGGGAAACGAAGUGAGAAGUCAAAGACAGCCAGGAGGUUGGCUUAGAAGCAGCCAUCCUUUAAAGAAAGCGUAAUAGCUCACUGGUCAAGCCGACUUGCGCGGAAGAUUUAACGGGGCUUAAGCUGUAUACCGAAGUUGCGAAUGCUUAUUUUUAAUAAGCGUGGUAGGGGAGCGUUCUGUAAGUCAUUGAAGGCAUAUUGUGAGAUAUGCUGGAGAUAUCAGAAGUGAGAAUGCUGACAUGAGUAACGAUAAUGCGGGUGAAAAACCCGCACGCCGAAAACCCAAGGGUUCCUGCGCAACGUUAAUCGACGCAGGGUUAGUCGGUACCUAAGGCGAGACCGAAAGGUGUAGUCGAUGGACAACAGGUUAAUAUUCCUGUACCGCGUAUACUGCGAUGGGGGGACGGAGAAGGCUAAGCUUACCGGGUGUUGGUUAUCCCGGGAAAAGUAUGUAGGUAGAGAACUUUGGAAAAUCCGGGUUCUUAUUACUGAGAUACGAGACCAUUGAUUUUUUAAUCAAGAAGUAGCUGAUGCCAUGCUUCCAAGAAAAGCCUCUAAGCUUCAGGUAUUACGUGACCGUACCCCAAACCGACACAGGUGGGUGGGAUGAGAAUUCUAAGGCGCUUGAGAAAACUCUGGUGAAGGAACUAGGCAAAUUGGUACCGUAACUUCGGAAGAAGGUACGCCUUUGUUGGUGAUUGAAUUUACUUCAUAAGCUGAUGGAGGUCUCAGAAACCAGGUGGCUGCGACUGUUUACUAAAAACACAGCACUCUGCUAACUCGUAAGAGGAUGUAUAGGGUGUGACGCCUGCCCGGUGCCGGAAGGUUAAUUGAUCGAGUUAGCCCUUUUGGGCGAAGCCCGUGAUCGAAGCCCCGGUGAACGGCGGCCGUAACUAUAACGGUCCUAAGGUAGCGAAAUUCCUUGUCGGGUAAGUUCCGACCUGCACGAAUGGCGUAACGAUGGCCACACUGUCUCCACCAGAGACUCAGUGAAAUUGAAAUAGCUGUGAAGAUGCAGUUUAAACACCGCAAGACGGAAAGACCCCGUGCACCUUUACUACAGCUUUGCAUUGGACUUUGAUCCUGUUUGUGCAGGAUAGGUGGGAGGCAUUGAAGCAUAUGCGCCAGCGUAUGUGGAGCCAACCUUGAAAUACCACCCUGAUAUGAUUGAAGUUCUAACCUAGGUCCAUUAUCUGGAUCAGGGACAUUGUAUGGUGGGUAGUUUGACUGGGGCGGUCUCCUCCUAAAGAGUAACGGAGGAGCACAAAGGUUCCCUCAACUCGGUCGGCCAUCGAGUUUAGAGUGCAAAGGCAUAAGGGAGCUUGACUGCGAGACAGACAUGUCGAGCAGGAGCGAAAGCUGGUCUUAGUGAUCCGGUGGUUCUGUAUGGAAGGGCCAUCGCUCAACGGAUAAAAGGUACGCCGGGGAUAACAGGCUGAU